AGAGAGUAAUGAGGAAGCCGAACAAGAGCAACACAGAGAGGAGAUAAGUGGAGUGAAUAACAGCCAGGGGGAGGGGUAGAGCAUGAUCAUGCUGAAGUCAGAGCAACAGGAAAAGAACAUGAGAACAUCAACUGGCUGAAAAAGGAAUUGAGUGCUACGAAAGCAAUGCACAAGUGCACACGGCAAAGCUUGGCACACCAUGAAAGGCAAAGAACAGGUAUGUAUAAACACAUCCCUUAUUAACCAAGUGAAACAAAACAUGUGGAACCGCCUUGCCUGACGAGGCAGGAAUUCACAGCAUACAUAAUAUUUCCUCAGCCAACAGCCCUCACCUGCUUCCUUUCAACACUGGCUGUCUCUCUCCAGAUGGCCACCGUAAACAUACUACACAUGCAUAACCUUGUUUAUCCUGUUUCCUGUGUGAGCAGAGAGAGAAAAAGUGCUGAAAAAGGUCAAGUUGAACUGAAGAAAGCCAAGCGAGGCAGCAGAAUCCCGACUGACAGAGGGCAAAUCCGCUAGCAUGCAAAUAAAAACCUUAGAAAAAUGUUUUCACUGCUCAAUACCGCUCUUACAAACACCCCCCCCCCCUGCCAAAACAAAAAACAAAAAAAACAAGGUUCUCGUGAGUGGAGCUCCACCUACGAACACCACACUGCGCAACUGAACACACAAAUGUUUUGAGUCAUAUGUCAAACUGAGGGAAGUAAUUCAAGAGUAUGGACCAUUUUUAUACAAACAAGUGAGCACAUCAUGAGCAACAAAUCAUGAGGACACACAUCAGUGCUUCACAAGCUUGUCCCUUGAGAUUGUGACUUAGCCGCGAACAUGAGGGGUAUGUUACACUCAUCUGAGGCUGCAUUCGACACACUUGCACAAUCGAAUGAGAUCCAAUACAAGAGAGCUGAGAAGAAAAUUUGACAUGCCAUCCAGAUAACUACAAUGGUGUUCAGUCCGCCUGCCUUGUUUGAUUGGGAAAAAAAAUCUGUUGGGAAAAUCAUCACAAUGCCAUCUGCUCGAUCUGGUGUGAACCCGCUUGGCUGCAAUGCAAGUGCAGUGUAAUGGUGAAAAUCAAUCUCUUGAGUUGAACCUCUUCCAGAACAUCCUUUCACAAGGUUUCAAAGAAACAGUCGUGUAGUUUUUUUGUGUGACACUUGCUCAUGAACAUACAAAACUUCUUAACCAACAAAGAUGUGGAAAAAUGUGACCAAGAUCAAAUCAAAUAAAAUGUU